rfam:Elaeophora elaphi genomic scaffold, EEL_scaffold_00001_1479205
GGAGGGAUGCCCGAGUGGUUAAAGGGGACGGACUGUAAAUCCGUUGGCUAUGCCUACGUUGGUUCAAAUCCAACUCCCUCCA